rnacentral:lncRNA from 1 species
CAAACGUUUUGAAAAAAUAUAAAUCAAUCUAAUAAAGUAUAAAAAUUAAAAAAAUCAUCUCUUUCUUCUCUCCUUUCCCUCUUCCUCUCAUCCUCCUCCACCACCAAAACUCCACCCUUUGGCCACCUUGAGCGCCAGAUCAACAUAACACCUUGAAGCCCUCACUUUCAUCGUCGAAACCCACCCAACCUUCGACCAUAACUCCAAUCGAUUUGACCGAAAAUUAAAGCCAAAAUAAGCUACCCAAAACAUAUUUAAACAACAAAUUCAACAAUUCUUUAUCACUCUUUAUAGAGAACGUAUUUAUUCAUAAUUGAUGGAUUGAAGCAUAGUGGAGCCUCUAAUUGAAAGGGGAUCAUUGGACAUGGCGUGGUCGCGAUCUGUCUGUGUUCAUUCGAAAUUGGCCAAGACCCAUAUGUUCGGUGGAUGCGCCAUGGUGGGGCUAUGCUAGUGGUUGUGGUCCGCGAUUAGGAGUUACACAACGUCGAAAUUCGUGGUGGAGGGGGCUGACUGCGCCAUGGAGGAAAAAUUCUAUAUCUUUGGAUUUUCCGAUUUGUUUGAUGUUAUGAGGGCGUCUAUAGGUGCGUAGUAACAUGAUUGAUCGAUUUGUGGAAUGGGUAUGAAAUCGGUGUCUUCGAAAACUGAUUUUCUUCCUAGAUUUUGGAGCAUGUUCUUCUGGUUUUGGUUCAGAUUUUUGGUCAAAUUUGCAGAAGUUGAGGUUGGCGGUUGGGUGAGUUGUAAGGAGGGUAAUGAGGGCUUGAAGUCAUAUGUUGGUUUGGCGCCGAAGGUGGCUGGAGUGUAGAGUUUUGGUGGUGGAGGAGGAGGGGAGAGAGAGGAGAGAAGAAAGAGAUGAUUUUUUUUUAAUUUUUAUAAUUUAUUGGACUGAUUUAUAUGUUUUCAAAACGUUUGGG